UACGAAGGGGGCUAGCGUUGCUCGGAAUCACUGGGCGUAAAGGGUGCGUAGGCGGGUCUUUAAGUCAGGGGGGAAAUCCUGGAGCUCAACUCCAGAACUGCCUUUGAUACUGAGGAUCUUGAGUUCGGGAGAGGUGAGUGGAACUGCGAGUGUAGAGGUGAAAUGCGUAGAGAUCUGGAAGAACACCAAAGGCGAAGGCAGCGUUCUGGGAAGUAUCUGACGCUCAGGUCCGAAAGCCAGGGGAGCGAACGGG
rnacentral:rRNA from 1 species